rnacentral:lncRNA from 1 species
GGGAUAAGCUCUUUAACCGGUCUUUUUACUAGAGCUCUUGCCUAACUGAUUCCUGACCAGGGACCGGAUAGAGCUCUCCUACCAUUUAUUUUUAUUUUUAUUUUUUAUUUUGAAGUUUUUUGAUCUUUCAUCUCAUUCAUUGUACUUAUCCCUUUCUAAAAAUGAAUUCUAGUUUCUUAUUGGAUCCAGUUUAUAUUAUUCUCUUCGAUUGAUUGUAUCUCAAAACACACACCGCUUAAAAACUUCCCUUCUCUUUCUAUUGAAAAUAAUAGAAAAAAUAAAAAAUAGAUUUCCA